AGUGAACGCUGGCGGCAGGCCUAACACAUGCAAGUCGAACGGCAGCACAGCAGUAGCAAUACUGUGGGUAGCGAGUGGCGGACGGGUGAGGAAUACAUCGGAAUCUGCCUUAUCGUGGGGGAUAACGUAGGGAAACUUACGCUAAUACCGCAUACGACCUACGGGUGAAAGCGGAGGACCUUCGGGCUUCGCGCGAUAAGAUGAGCCGGUGUCGGAUUAGCUAGUUGGCGGGGUAAAGGCCCACCAAGGCGACGAUCCGUAGCUGGUCUGAGAGGAUGAUCAGCCACACUGGAACUGAGACACGGUCCAGACUCCUACGGGAGGCAGCAGUGGGGAAUAUUGGACAAUGGGCGCAAGCCUGAUCCAGCCAUGCCGCGUGGGUGAAGAAGGCCUUCGGGUUGUAAAGCCCUUUUGUCCGGAAAGAAAAGCAUCGGGUUAAUACCUCGGUGUUCUGACGGUACCGGAAGAAUAAGCACCGGCUAACUUCGUGCCAGCCGCCGCAGUAAUAC
rnacentral:rRNA from 1 species